AGUAACGCGUGGGUAACCUGCCUUGUACAGGGGGAGUAACAGUUGGAAACGACUGCUAAUACCGCAUAAGCGCACAGUACCGCAUGGUACAGUGUGAAAAACUCCGGUGGUACGAGAUGGACCCGCGUCUGAUUAGCUUGUUGGUGGGGUAACGGCCUACCAAGGCAACGAUCAGUAGCCGACUUGAGAGAGUGAUCGGCCACAUUGGGACUGAGACACGGCCCAAACUCCUACGGGAGGCAGCAUG
rnacentral:rRNA from 1 species